CCUACGGGUGGCAGCAGUCGAGAAUCAUUCACAAUGGGGGAAACCCUGAUGGUGCGACGCCGCGUGGGGGAAUGAAGGUCUUCGGAUUGUAAACCCCUGUCAUGUGGGAGCCAAUUAAAAAGAUAGUACCACAAGAGGAAGCUACGUCGAACUCUGUGUCAGCAGCCGCGGUAAUACAGAGGUCUCAAGCGUUGUUCGGAAUCACUGGGCGUAAGGGGUGCGUCGGCUGUUUUGUAAGUCGGGUGUGAAAGGCGCGGGCUCAACCCGCGGACGGCACAUGAUACUGCGAGACUAGAGUACUGGAGGGGGAACCGGAAUUCUCGGUGUAGCAGUGAAAUGCGUAGAUAUCGAGAGGAACACUCGUGGCGAAGGCGGGUUCCUGGACAUUAACUGACGCUGAGGCACGAAGGCCAGGGGAGCGAAAGGGAUUAGAUACCCGAGUAGUC
rnacentral:rRNA from 1 species